AACGGAGGAGGUUGAAUCUGGAAAGUUCAUAAGGAAAUAUGAGAAAACCGUAGAGCUUAUCCGCAACUGCGUCGGAAGGGUUUACCAUACCAAUUAGUGUUACCCUUCAAGAAUUACGGCAGAGACUUGAGGACUUAGGAGCAAAGCUCCAACUGUGGAAGUGAUGCUCAAGAAUUUGACUAUUGAGGUUGAUUCCUAUGUUGUCAGCACUCAG